rnacentral:rRNA from 2 species
UUGGUGAACCAGCGGAGGGAUCAUUAUAGAGUUAUAAAAAACUCCCAAACCCAUGUGAACUUACCUUUGUUGCCUCGGCGGAGCCUACCCUGUAGCUACCCUGUAAGGGCCUACCCUGUAGCGCACCCCGCCGGUGGACAUUCAAACUCUUGUUAUUUUAAAUGAAUCUGAGCGUCUUAUUUUAAUAAGUCAAAACUUUCAACAACGGAUCUCUUGGUUCUGGCAUCGAUGAAGAACGCAGCGAAAUGCGAUAAGUAAUGUGAAUUGCAGAAUUCAGUGAAUCAUCGAAUCUUUGAACGCACAUUGCGCCCAUUAGUAUUCUAGUGGGCAUGCCUGUUCGAGCGUCAUUUCAACCCUUAAGCCUAGCUUAGUGUUGGGAAUCUACUGUAUUGUAGUUCCUGAAAAACAACGGCGGAACUAUAGUGUCCUCUGAGCGUAGUAAUUCUUUAUCUCGCUUUUGUCAGGUGCUGUAGCUCUUGCCGCUAAACCCCCAAUUUCUUAUGGUUGACCUCGGAUCAGG